rnacentral:rRNA from 1 species
GACGAACGCUGGCGGCGUGCUUAACACAUGCAAGUCGAACGGAAAGGCCCUGCUUUUGUGGGGUGCUCGAGUGGCGAACGGGUGAGUAACACGUGAGUAACCUGCCCUUGACUUUGGGAUAACUUCAGGAAACUGGGGCUAAUACCGGAUAGGAGCUCCUGCUGCAUGGUGGGGGUUGGAAAGUUUCGGCGGUUGGGGAUGGACUCGCGGCUUAUCAGCUUGUUGGUGGGGUAGUGGCUUACCAAGGCUUUGACGGGUAGCCGGCCUGAGAGGGUGACCGGCCACAUUGGGCCUGCGAUACGGCCCAGACUCCUACGGUGGGCAGCAGUGGGGAAUAUUGCACAAUGGGCGGAAGCCUGAUGCAGCAACGCCGCGUGCGGGAUGACGGCCUUCGGGUUGUAAACCGCUUUCGCCUGUGACGAAGCGUGAGUGACGGUAAUGGGUAAAGAAGCACCGGCUAACUACGUG